rnacentral:misc_RNA from 1 species
CCGAGUGAGGGCCUCCGGGUCCGACCUCCAACCCUUUGAUUUAACCAACUCUUGUUGCCUCGGGGGCGACCCGGUCGCGUCGGCCUUCUGGCCCGACGUCGGCGUCGGGGCCCCCGACCGGCCCUGUCACAACUCUGCAUCUUUGCGUCGGGUUGAUCAGAAAAUCAAUUUA